GGGUGCGAUCAUACCAGCACUAAUGCACCGGAUCCCGUCAGAACUCCGCAGUUAAACGUGCUUGGGCGAGAGUAGUACUAGGAUGGGUGACCUCCUGGGAAGUCCUCGUGUUGCACCCCUCC
rnacentral:rRNA from 1 species